UAUUAUAAUAAGUUUAAAAUUUAGAUGUUUGAGUAGUAAUAGUUAAAAUCUUGAAACUCAAAGAAUUUGGCGGUGUUUUAGUCCUUUCAGAGGAAUCUGUCCUGUAAUUGAUAAUACACGAUUUAUUAUACUUUCUUUUGUGAUUCAAUUUGUAUACCGCCGUCAUAAGAUUAUCUUGUAGAGGGUUUAAAAUUUCUUUAUUUUUGAUUAAUAAGAAUGUCAGGUCAAGGUGCAGUAUAUGGGAAAGUAGAGAUGGAUUACAAUAAUAUUAAUUAAAUGGAUAUUUAUAUAUGAUAAUUAAGUUGAAGGUGGAUUUGAUUGUAAAUUCAAUUUUAAAUAUUGAGUUGAUUUGGGCUCUAGAAUGUGCACACAUCGCCCGUCGCUCUCGUAUUUAAUAUGAG
rnacentral:rRNA from 1 species